GGAAGAGCACGCGGGCUGGUGUCCGUCGCGGCCUUCAAAGCCGUUGAGCUGCUGUUGAAGUGGCUGGUGGGUUCGAUUCCUACCUCUUCCGCCA
rnacentral:tRNA from 1 species